CGCAGGCCAGGCCGCAGGCUGAGGCCGGGACCGGAGGGGACUGGCGCGGUGGCAGAGGACGCAGGCAGCAGGGACCAGCAAGCAACACGGAGAGCAGAUCGCCCCACUACAAUUAAAUCAAAGAGGUUAUUAACACAGUGGCAGAAGUAAUGGUUAUAAAUAAAACAAACUUUAUCCAAAUUAUAAAGAGCUAUUAAAGAGAAUUCACAAAGUGAAAGUGAGCCAAGGUGAUUGCAUUAUUCUCAAAAGAGCGUUUAUUAAACCUUUAGAGCUCUGGUUCUCCCACUGUCCAGCAUUGAUUGAGAACAGCAAGCCAUAUAAGGUCACCUAGGAAGAAGAUCAGAAUUCAGUCUUUAAAAGGCCUGAUGGUAGUGGCGCAUGCCUUCAAUCCCAACGCUAAAGAGGAAUAUAAGACGGGGAGACAGAUCUCAACUUAGUCUCAUUCUGAGGAUUCAUGGAGGCAGGACAGCUGAGGCAGUGAGGACCUAAGUUUAAUCUCAAGCACCCACAUGUUGACUCACAACAAUCUAACUCCAGUUCCCAUGUAUGUGGUACCUUCUUCAAACUUCUACAGACACAAGGCAUGCAUAUAGUGCACAACUACAUAUGCAGCUGGACAGAAAUAGAAUGGCAGCCCAUACAAAUGCUGAACUGUAUCACUUCAAACUUCAUUUAUGAAGUAAGAAGAAUGCAAAUGAGGAUAGACUCAAAAGAAAUUAGAGAGAAUAUAAUACCCUCUUAGAAACUUAAGUUCUAGUGAAUGGUACAUAAGUUAACAAGGAAACAUCAUAUUAAAAUUGCGAGUGAAUGAUCAUAAUUCUGAACCUCUUUCAACUACGUAAAAAAAAUCUACAACAUGACUAGUCAGUACUGCGGUUUUCAUAUUGCUAUACUUUUCUACUAUACUCUAUCAUUCAUAAUUAAUUUUCUGUUAUGUACCAAGAAACACUGAAGAAAAUCUACAAAUCUACUGUUUAGUACAAGGCUACAGAAAUGAAUAGGGCCAGUCUUGCCUUCUGCAAUAUUGUAACAAUCAACAAUAGCAACAAUAGAGAAUUCGCAUUUUCUGUUUGCUUCCUGAAUAUACUCUGCCACCGCCUGACAUGUCACACACCACUCCAUCCUCAUGAAAUUCCUGUCAUCACCUGUUUUCAGUGUUAACUCCUUAAAGUAAGAG